CCAAUGCUAAACUGUCUCAAGCGACUUUUCAUUGCUCAUCACGCUCUUGUAAUCAUGGCCAUAUCGUAGUAGAGCGAAGCGAGUUAAACAGUGCACUUGUAAAACGUUUUCGGUGUUCUACGUUUUCAUAGAAUUUUUUGCAAUAAUAAUAAUUACAAAAGCGAAAAUAUAGCAAGAUUACGGUUUUACGUAGACUUAAUAAAUGUCUUUUUUAUACUUUUGCUGCGUAUCUGCUAAAGGACGGAAAUAAUCAUAUUUACCGCAACUGCAUACAUACGGUCUCAACAGCUUCAUUUCCGGCUAAGCGUAAACGCAAAGAACUUGAUAAUUGUAAUUUAUUUAACAAACCUAUAACAGUCAAAAUGGUUCAUUCAACAAUUUACGACGUUGCACCCAAGCUAAAGGCAAACGAAGUUCCGCAAAACAUGGCUGCCGAAGCUGAGACUCACUUGGAUCAUAUGUGCCGCUUGCAGUUCGACUCAGCGGUGCCACAUGUACGCCUCUCCGGCGUCGUCUGCACCAUUGGACCUGCCUCGCGCAGCGCUGAAAUGUUGGAGAAGAUGAUGGAGACCGGCAUGAAUAUUGCGCGCAUGAACUUCUCUCACGGCUCGCACGAAUACCAUGCCGAGACUGUGGCCAAUGUACGCGCCGCGGCCAAGAACUAUUCGGCUAAGAUUGGUUAUGAAUAUCCAAUUGCCAUUGCUUUGGAUACUAAGGGACCUGAAAUCCGUACUGGUCUCAUUGAGGGCAGCGGCUCUGGUGAGGUUGAGCUGAAGAGGAAUGAAACCAUCAAAUUGUCAACCGAUCCAGCUUACCUCGAGAAGGGCAACAAAGACACAGUCUACGUUGAUUAUGCCAACAUUGUGAAGGUGGUGCAACCAGGCAAUCGUGUCUUCGUUGAUGAUGGUCUCAUCUCGUUGAUUGUUAAGGAAGUGCAAAGCAACGCUUUGGUUUGCCAAAUUGAGAAUGGUGGCGCUUUGGGCUCACGCAAAGGUGUCAACUUGCCCGGUGUGCCCGUCGAUUUGCCUGCCGUGUCUGAGAAGGACAAAUCUGAUUUGAAAUUCGGUGUCGAACAGAAGGUCGAUAUGGUAUUCGCUUCGUUCAUUCGUAAUGCCGCAGCGUUGACUGAAAUCCGUGGUGUUUUGGGUGAGGAAGGCAAGAACAUCAAGAUCAUUUCGAAGAUUGAAAACCAACAGGGUAUGCAUAAUCUGGAUGAGAUUAUCGAGGCAUCCGAUGGUAUUAUGGUGGCACGUGGUGAUUUGGGUAUUGAAAUUCCACCAGAGAAGGUAUUCUUGGCACAGAAGGCUAUGAUUGCACGUUGCAACAAAGCCGGUAAGCCAGUCAUUUGCGCUACACAAAUGUUGGAGUCCAUGGUGAAGAAACCACGCCCCACACGUGCCGAAAUCUCCGAUGUGGCUAAUGCCAUUCUCGACGGUGCUGACUGUGUGAUGUUGUCCGGUGAGACCGCCAAGGGUGAAUACCCACUCGAAUGUGUGCUGACCAUGGCAAAGACCUGCAAAGAGGCUGAAGCCGCUUUGUGGCACAGAAAUUUGUUUGCCGAUUUAGUGCGCGCCACACACACCUCCACCCUCGAUUCGGCACAUGCCGUGGCCAUUGCUGCCGUUGAGGCUGCAUCAAAAGCGCUGGCCGCCGCCAUUGUGGUUAUCACGACUUCAGGAAAGUCCGCUCAUCAAAUUAGCAAAUAUCGUCCACGUUGCCCCAUCCUAGCGGUCACACGCUUCCCACAAACCGCUAGACAGGCGCAUUUAUACCGCGGCAUCAUACCUGUCAUCUACAAUGAACCAGCUCAAUCUGACUGGCUGAAGGAUGUCGAUGCUCGUGUACAGUUCGGCGUACAGGUCGGCAAGAAGAACGGUUUCCUUAAAACUGGCGAUGCUGUGGUCAUUGUAACCGGCUGGAAACAGGGUUCUGGAUUCACAAACACCAUGCGUAUUGUGUGCGUAAAACUAGAUAAGGAUCAAGAGUGUGAAUGCAAUGAUUAAACCGUAUAAUAACGGCAAGCAUGUGUGGUGAAUGACAGAGAGCAUAUUGAAAAUGUUGAUUACAUUGAAUAAACACCAUCACCGUUGUAAUACUACCUCGGACUCAUAUAUAGAUGCAUACAUACAUAUAUAGCAAAAAACAUACAAUAAGUAGCGCUCAAGGGCAAGCGCACAACUUCAUCCUGUUGCAGUGAAACUCAAAUACACGUAUUAAAUACACAUCUACCUACCAAAUCGGUGGACUACAAAAUAAUUUAUUUAAAUGCUACUGUAAUUGAAUGUUGGUAUUAAUUAAUCCCCUGCACUAGUGAAGAGGAAUAUUAAAUGUUAUGAAUUACAAAUUUUAAUAAAAACAUAAACACAUUGAA